CUUCCUACAUCCUGAAAGCAAAACUGAUACCAAAACAACCAAAGAGGGCAACUUUCUCUGGGUCCUUUCAGGCUGGCAAGCUCAUUGUGUGACUGGUUUAAGCAGUGUAUUACAACAAAGUAACCCUCAAGCAAAGACAAACGAGUUUCU